GACGAACGCUGGCGGCGUGCUUAACACAUGCAAGUUGAACGAUGAAGCUGGAGCUUGCUCCGGUGGAUUAGUGGCGAACGGGUGAGUAACACGUGAGCAAUCUGCCCUUGACUCUGGGAUAACUGCGGGAAACUGUAGCUAAUACCGGAUAUGAGGCUUGGAGGCAUCUCCAGGUCUGGAAAGAAUUUCGGUCAAGGAUGAGCUCGCGGCCUAUCAGCUAGUUGGUGAGGUAAUGGCUCACCAAGGCGACGACGGGUAGCCGGCCUGAGAGGGUGACCAGCCACACUGGGACUGAGAAACGGCCCAGACUCCUACGGGAGGCAGCAGUGGGGAAUAUUGCACAAUGGGCGGAAGCCUGAUGCAGCAACGCCGCGUGAGGGAUGAAGGCCUUCGGGUUGUAAACCUCUUUUAGCAGGGAAGAAGCGAAAGUGACGGUACCUGCAGAAAAAGCACCGGCUAACUACGUGCCAGCAGCCGCCGUAA
rnacentral:rRNA from 1 species